rnacentral:rRNA from 1 species
UUAAAGUAGUAAGGGCGCAGGGUGGAUGCCUUGGCACUAAGAGCCGAUGAAAGACGUGAUAAGCUGCGAAAAGCUUCGGGGAGGAGCACAUAUCCAAUGAUCCGGAGAUAUCUGAAUGGGGAAACCCGGCAGAGGAAACCUCUGUCAGCGUGCAGUGAAUACAUAGCUGUACGUGGGGAACCCGGGGAACUGAAACAUCUAAGUACCCGGAGGAAGAGAAAGAAAAUUUAUCGAUUUCCAAAGUAGCGGCGAGCGAAAUGGAAAGAGCCCAAACCGUGAUGCGUGCAUCGCGGGGUUCGGACUGCGUUGUGGCAGACGUAAGAUAGGAGAACGGACUGGGAAGUCCGGCCGGAGAGAGUGAAAGCCUCGUAUCCGAAAUCCCAAGUCGCCUAGCAGGAUCCAGAGUAGGACGAGACACGAGAAACCUUGUCUGAACGAGCGGGGACCACCCCGUAAGGCUAAAUACUUCUUAGUGACCGAUAGCGCAUAGUACUGUGAAGGAAAGGUGAAAAGUACCCCGGGAGGGGAGUGAAAGAGAACCUGAAACCCUGUGUCUACAAGCUGUGGGACCUCUUUAUAUGAGGGACUGCGUACUUUUUGUAGAACGGUCCGGCGAGUUGUGCGUACUGGCGAGGUUAAGGACUUAAGGUCUGGAGCCGAAGUGAAAGCAAGCGUUAAUAGCGCGUCAAGUCAGUGAGUGCAGACCCGAAACCGGGUGACCUAUCCAUGUCCAGGUUGAAGCUUCCGUAAGAGGAAGUGGAGGACCGAACCCACAUCCGUUGAAAAGGGUGGGGAUGAGGUGUGGAUAGCGGAGAAAUUCCAAUCGAACCCGGAGAUAGCUGGUUCUCCUCGAAAUAGCUUUAGGGCUAGCCUCAUGAGAGUCUUAUGGAGGUAGAGCACUGAAUUGCCUAGGGGGCGUCAAAGCUUACCAAAGCAUAUCAAACUCCGAAUGCCAUCAAGAUGAUUCAUGGGAGUCAGACCAUACGAGAUAAGUUGGAUGGUCAAAAGGGAAAGAGCCCAGACCUACAGCUAAGGUCCCAAAGUACGUGUUAAGUGGAAAAGGAUGUGGGGAUUCUAAGACAACUAGGACGUUGGCUUAGAAGCAGCCAUUCAUUGAAAGAGUGCGUAAUAGCUCACUAGUCGAGAGUCCCUGCGCCGAAAAUGUCCGGGGCUGAAACACGACACCGAAGCUUAGGAAUGUGUAAACAUUGGUAGAGGAGCAUUGCUAGCGGGAUGAAGCCAUACCGUAAGGAGUGGUGGACUGCUAGGAAGAGAGAAUGCCGGAAUGAGUAGCGAGAUGAAGGUGAGAAUCCUUCAGGCCGAAUAUCUAAGGUUUCCAGAGUAAAGCUGAUCUGCUCUGGGUAAGUCGGGACCUAAGGCGAGGUCGAAAGACGUAGUCGAUGGAUAACAGGUUGAAAUUCCUGUACCGCAUAUAAACAGAACUGUGGGGACACAGACAGGGAAUGGAAUCCGGGAAUGGAUAUCCCGGUGCAAGCGAGGUAGGAGUGCUGUUGGCAAAUCCGCAGCACGAUCUGAAGACGUGACGCGUACCGAACAUAAGUAGGGAAGUCCAGGCCCCUGGCUGUCAAGAAAAGCCGCUAUCGUUUUAUAUGUGCCCGUACCGCAAACCGACACAGGUGGAUGAGGAGAGAAUCCUAAGGCCGACGGGAGAAGUAUUGUUAAGGAACUCGGCAAAAUGACUCCGUAACUUCGGGAGAAGGAGUGCCAUGAGAGUGGCCGCAGAGAAAUGGCCCAAGCAACUGUUUAGCAAAAACACAGGUCUAUGCAAAACCGCAAGGUGAAGUAUAUGGGCUGACGCCUGCCCGGUGCUGGAAGGUUAAGGGGAGAUGUCAGGAGACGAAGCAUCGAACUUAAGCCCCAGUAAACGGCGGCCGUAACUAUAACGGUCCUAAGGUAGCGAAAUUCCUUGUCGGGUAAGUUCCG